UGCAUUGAUAACGGGGCGAUGAUAGCCCAUGCCGGGUGGGAGAUGUUCCGGGUCGGACACGUGACCCCUCUGGAGGAUUCCUGGAUCACGCAGAGGUUCCGAACCGACGAGGUGGAGGUGACGUGGAGGGAUUGACCGACCCUCUGAUGUCACGGCAAGAGAGCGAGAGCCAUCUGUGAGGUGUGUCCUGAACGUUUCGGAGUGUUUUUCUAAUCAGCGCCCCCUGCUCUGACACCUUCCUUCAGCGAAGGAGGAGGAAGACUCAAAUUGUUGUCUAUUUCUCUCUUUUAAAAAUAAAUCCCUGGAAAUGUUUA